GACAAGUUUCCAUUGAGAACCCUUGUGGAUGGAACACAGAACAGCUUAAGAGAGAACACAGUACAGGCUGUGGAGACGCAUCUCCAGAGGUCUAUCUGGAUUGUUCUCAUGCUUUCUAAAACCUUUCCCCACCUGUUGGUUGAUAUGGUAAGUGUCUACAACAGUGGACAAUCCUUUCAUUGUACUUUUGGGUUUAAGGUUUAAAGUGAAGUUGUCCUGGGAGAAUAUGACACAUGAUUUAAAUUCAAACUAAAGCCUCUGUUAGUGGUACCAGAUCCUUAAUUGGAACAGAGUUUGGUAGAUGGACGAGGG
rnacentral:lncRNA from 1 species